CCUACGGGAGGCAGCAGUGAGGAAUAUUGGACAAUGGGCGCAAGCCUGAUCCAGCCAUGCCGCGUGCAGGAUGACGGUCCUAUGGAUUGUAAACUGCUUUUAUACAGGAAGAAACACCUCUACGUGUAGAGACUUGACGGUACUGUAAGAAUAAGGAUCGGCUAACUCCGUGCCAGCAGCCGCGGUAAUACGGAGGAUCCAAGCGUUAUCCGGAAUCAUUGGGUUUAAAGGGUCCGUAGGCGGUUUAGUAAGUCAGUGGUGAAAGCCCAUCGCUCAACGGUGGAACGGCCAUUGAUACUGCUAGACUUGAAUUAUUAGGAAGUAACUAGAAUAUGUAGUGUAGCGGUGAAAUGCUUAGAGAUUACAUGGAAUACCAAUUGCGAAGGCAGGUUACUACUAAUUGAUUGACGCUGAUGGACGAAAGCGUGGGUAGCGAACAGGAUUAGAUACCCUGGUAGUCCACGCCGUAAACGAUGGAUACUAGCUGUUGGGAGCAAUCUCAGUGGCUAAGCGAAAGUGAUAAGAUCCCNCCGUGGUAGGUAGAACGACGUAGUUAGUUAACGUACAANAGAGUUAGACGCGUUGAGAGNGCGACGGACGACGACGAGGGAGGAGG
rnacentral:rRNA from 1 species